ACAGUGGCCAAAUAUCCUUGUUGAAGCUGGAUCUUGGCACAUCUCUAAAGCUAAGCAGGGCUGGGCUUGGUUAGUACUUGGAUGGGAAACUGCAGGGAAAAUCAGAUCAAAAACUGUA
rnacentral:rRNA from 1 species